rnacentral:rRNA from 1 species
UACGUAGGAUGCAAGCGUUGUUCGGAAUUACUGGGCGUAAAGAGUACGUAGGCGGUUUGAUAAGUCUGCUAUUAAAGACUGGAGCUUAACUCCAGGACUGUAGUGGAAACCGUCAGACUAGAGGACAAUAGAGGAAGUCGGAAUUCUCAGUGUAGCGGUGAAAUGCGUAGAUAUUGGGAAGAACACCAGUGGCGAAAGCGGACUUCUGGGCUGUUACUGACGCUGAGGUACGAAAGCGUGGGGAGCAAACGGG